rnacentral:lncRNA from 1 species
GCCGCUCUUUUAGUGUUCACACUGGGGACCUCGGUGCGAAUCCUGGCCUGAUGAGGACGGGCGCCGCCGCCUUCUCUUGCACAGCCCGGGGAUCUCAGAACCCUCUCCUCCCUCUCAGCGCAGGCGCUCGUCCCGGUACCGCUGAAGUCUGCAGACUGAAGUCCCGCAGAUGCUGGGCUCCCUUACACAGCAUCCACCUGCUCGCCUCUGCCGCUCCCUCCAUCUGAGUUUCCACCUACGGUCGUUGUCUUUCCAGGUCCCACUCUUUUUGUGAGAAUGUCCACUCCAGUCUAAACGUGGCCUCCUCCGAGGUGAUGCAUGUCCCUGACUGAGGCUAAGCCCCUGUCUUUGAUGUCACCGGUUUGCCUGUGACUGGUCAGGGGUGGGUUUUCCGUCUCUUCACCCUGCUUGGACUUCCCAGCACGCCAGCCUCAGGUCUCCUCAGAAAGGGUGCGGGGGCCCAGCCCAGCCCAGCCCAGCCAUGCAAACCCUUUCUCGUGAGAGCCUCCCUUCGCUCCAGCCCACAGCCGAACCGGGAGUUCCGUGAUCACGCAGCUUAGACGCGGGGUCAGCGCCCGGCACCUCCAGCUCCACAUUCCAUGUCCGUGUCCUCGCAGGUCAGCGGAAGGCCUCUGCUCAGCUUAACUCAGCCCCCCCCCGCGAGGGGCCGCUCCCCUCCUGGGAUGCACCCUGUGCCCCACCCAGCGCCACUUCCAACCACUGUGGAGAGAGCUUUGGGGUUUGAAGACAGGGGGCAGCAGGGGGGGGUGGUGCCAGGACCCACCCCCUCCUUCGUGACCUUUGUUCAAGGCAGGGACCUCAGCACCCCCCGGCCCCGGCGUGGUGGGGGGUUCCCUGGCGGGAAGCCGACACAGCUGCUUCUUGCCGGGAGGAGGGGGAGGUGAGCAGGGAGGGUGUCCGCACGGGGACAAGUGCACAUGUGUCGCAGGACAGGCCACGUUGCACGCAUCGAAAUGGAAAAAGUCAAAAGGCAACGAGUGUGAAGAAAACGGCCUUCUUGCGUGUAUCGACAGCGUGCGACGUGCUCCUGCUCUUGAGGACAUAGUCUCUGUUAUCUAUUAGAACAAAAACAACAGAGACUUUUGCUCCAUCACUCACAGUCCAGAACCCGUCCUGCAGGAGCCAGAGUCUCGGUUCGCAAAGCCAGACGUUCAAGGGCGCGCACCGCGGCUCUGUUCACAGUGGCGAUGGGAUCAGAAUGAGCACGAGAGACCACCCGAAGGUCCCCAUAAGGUCCCCUGAUGCUCUAGACCACACCACGCAGUGGUUAAGAAAGAACGAGUUAGGCCUCGACAGGUGUUUGCGGCGUUGGCCGAGCUCCGCGGGUUGGGGGUUUGCAGGCGGGAGCCUGGGGGCGAGGGACGCAGGGGGAGCCGCCACCAGACGGCAGAGGAUGAGCCUCUGUGCUCAGAGGCUUCGUGGACACCUCCACCCUUUGGAAAGAUUGCGAAAGGUGGCCUGCUGUCCCCGGAUCCAGCCUAAGGAGGUGACAGAAACCGGGGCCCCCAGGGACGCCCCAGAGGUGCUCACCACGCAUGACUCACCACAGGAACACUCCCCAGCCCCGAAGGCCCCCCUCAGGACCGCGUAAAGAAAUUACAUCACGGAGCGCUCCAGGCUGCACAUGGAACCGCGGGAGGGUGGUUAGCCGGGGCUCUGCUAAAGCCACACCCCCGGAGAGGAACUGGCUCAACGGGCCGGAAAGAACUGCCAGCGAGAGCGCCGCAGCUGCGGGACAGGCAGGCCUGCGCGGAGUCGUGUUUCCUUUAUAGUUUUCCCCAAAUUUCUACAAUAAACAUCUUUGAUUUUUAAA